rnacentral:rRNA from 1 species
CAGCCGCCGCGGUAAUACGGAGGGGGCUAGCGUUGUUCGGAAUUACUGGGCGUAAAGCGUACGUAGGCGGCUUUGUAAGUUAGAGGUGAAAGCCUGGUGCUCAACACCAGAACUGCCUUUAAGACUGCAUCGCUUGAACGUCGGAGAGGUGAGUGGAAUUCCGAGUGUAGAGGUGAAAUUCGUAGAUAUUCGGAAGAACACCAGUGGCGAAGGCGGCUCACUGGACGACUGUUGACGCUGAGGUACGAAAGCGUGGGGAGCAAACAGGAUUAGAUACCCCCGUAGUCCCUGUCUCUUAUAC